rnacentral:rRNA from 1 species
GACGAACGCUGGCGGCGUGCUUAACACAUGCCAGUCGAACGAUGAAGAAAAGAAUCGAAGCUUCGGCAGAAAUUCAUUUCGGAUUAGUGGCAGACGGGUGAGUAACGCGUGAGCAACCUACCUCUUACAAAGGGAUAGCCUCGGGAAACCGGGAUUAAUACCAUAUAACAUUGUGACGAAGCAUUUCGAUGCAAUCAAAGCUACGGCGGUAAGAGAUGGGCUCGCGUCCCAUUAACCGGAUGGUGAGGUAACGGCUCACCAUAGUGACGAUGGGUAACCGGCCUGAGAGGGUGAACGGUCACACUGGAACUGAGACACGGUACAGACUCCUACGGGAGGCAGCAGUGGGGAAUAUUGCACAAUGGAGGGAACGCAGAUGCAGCGACGCCGCGUGAGUGAUGAAGGAAUUCGUUUCGUAAAACUCUGUUCUAUGGGAAGAAAAGGACUGUACCAUAGGAGAAAGCUCCGGCUAAAUACGUG